CAUGCCGUUAAGCUAGUUGGUU
rnacentral:miRNA from 1 species